rnacentral:misc_RNA from 1 species
CGCACCUUGCGCCCCUUGGUAUUCCGGGGGGCAUGCCUGUUUGAGUGUCUUGAAAUCAUCAAACCGACCCGGUCUUUGUUGCCGGCGCGGUUUGGACUUGGGGGCUCUGCUGCCGCGAGGCGGCUCCCCUUAAAUGCAUCGGUCGGGCCUACUGGGGCUCCGUCACCUGGGCGUUGUAUUACCCUCGUCGCUGGAUGGCUCGCGAUAUUGCGCCCUUCUUCGACCUGCCUCUGGAGUGGCGGUCUUCAACUUUUUGUGAUCUGACCUCAAAUCAGGUAGGACUACCCGCUGAACUUAA